UCAAGCGAAGAAGGGCGCAGGGCGGAUGCCUUGGCACUGAGAGCCGAUGAAAGACGUGAUAAGCUGCGAUAAGCUUCGGGGAGGAGCAAAUAUCCUUUGAUCCGGAGAUCUCUGAAUGGGGAAACCCGGCUGUAUGGACUACAGUCAUCCAUAAGUGAAUCCAUAGCUUAUGGAAGGGAACCCGGGGAACUGAAACAUCUAAGUACCCGGAGGAAGAGAAAGAAACAUUCGAUUCCGUAAGUAGCGGCGAGCGAACGCGGAAGAGCCCAAACCGUGAUGCGUGCAUCGCGGGGUUCGGACUGCAUAAGGGAUUCAGUAACGGCAGGAGAACGGCUUUGGAACAGCCGGCCAGAGAGGGUGAGAGCCCCGUAUCCGAAGCCAGAGCUGACCCGGCAGGAUCCAGAGUACCACGGGACACGGGAAACCCUGUGGGAACGAGCGGAGACCACUCCGUAAGGCUAAAUACUACUCAGUGACCGAUAGCGUAUAGUACUGUGAAGGAAAGGUGAAAAGAACCCCGGGAGGGGAGUGAAAGAGAACCUGAAACCCUGUGUCUACAAGCUGUGGAAGUACUUCUUAGGUACGACCGCGUACUUUUUGUAGAACGGUCCGGCGAGCUGCGGGUACUGGCAAGGUUAAGCACUUCAGGUGCGGAGCCGCAGGGAAACCAAGUCUUAAGAGGGCGUUUUAGUCAGUACGUGCAGGCCCGAAACCGGGUGACCUAUCCAUGUCCAGGUUGAAGCCGCCGUAAAAGGCGAUGGAGGACCGAACCCACAUCCGUUGAAAAGGGUGGGGAUGAGGUGUGGAUAGCGGAGAAAUUCCAAUCGAACCCGGAGAUAGCUGGUUCUCCUCGAAAUAGCUUUAGGGCUAGCCUCAUACAAGUCUGCCGGAGGUAGAGCACUGAAUUUCCGCGGGGGCGUCAAAGCCUACCAAAGAAUAUCAAACUCCGAAUGCCGGACAGAUGGUGUAUGGGAGUCAGACUGUACGAGAUAAGUUGGACAGUCAAAAGGGAAAGAGCCCAGACCGCCGGCUAAGGUCCCAAAGUGGGUGUUAAGUGGAAAAGGAUGUGGGAUCUCUAAGACAACCAGGAUGUUGGCUCAGAAGCAGCCAUUCAUUAAAAGAGUGCGUAACAGCUCACUGGUCGAGAGGUCCUGCGCCGAAAAUGUCCGGGGCUGAAACACCACACCGAAGCCGCGGAACCCGUAAGGGUUGGUAGAGGAGCAUUCUUAGGGGAGCGAAGCAUUACCGGAAGGGGAUGUGGACUGCUAAGAAGAGAGAAUGCCGGAAUGAGUAGCGAGAGCAAGGUGAGAAUCCUUGCGGCCGAAUAUCCAAGGUUUCCAGAGUAAAGCUGAUCUGCUCUGGGUAAGUCGGGGCCUAAGGAGAGGCAGAGAUGCGUAUCCGAUGGACAGCAGGUUUAAGAUUCCUGCACCCCUUGUUAUCAGAACUGCGGGGACACGGGAAGGGAAGCAGAGCCGGGAAUGGAAAGCCCGGUGCAAGCGAAGUAGUCGCAGGGUUGGAAAAUCCGCCCUGCAUGAGACGAAGGCGUGAUGCGGAGCGAAAUGAAGUAGUGAAGCUGCGGCCCCUUCCUGUCGAGAAAAGCCGCUAUCGUGUAGCAAGGGCCCGUACCGUAAACCGACACAGGUGGAUGAGGAGAGGAUCCUAAGGCCGGCGGGAGAAGUGUUGUUAAGGAACUCGGCAAAAUGACUCCGUAACUUCGGGAGAAGGAGUGCUGCGCAAGCAGCCGCAGAGAAAUGGCCCAAGCAACUGUUUAGCAAAAACACAGGUCUAUGCGAAACCGAAAGGUGAGGUAUAUGGGCUGACGCCUGCCCGGUGCUGGAAGGUUAAGAGGAGAGGUUAGCGCAAGCGAAGCUUUGAAUUUAAGCCCCAGUAAACGGCGGCCGUAACUAUAACGGUCCUAAGGUAGCGAAAUUCCUUGUCGGGUAAGUUCCGACCC
rnacentral:rRNA from 1 species